rnacentral:snRNA from 1 species
AGAGAAUUGCUUGAACCCGGGAGGUGGAGGUUGCAGUGAGCCAAGAUCAUACCAUUGCACUCCAGCCUGGGCAACAUGA